UACGGAGGAUGCGAGCGUUAUCCGGAUUUAUUGGGUUUAAAGGGUGCGUAGGCGGAUCGUUAAGUCAGUGGUCAAAUUGAGGGGCUCAACCCCUUCCCGCCAUUGAAACUGGCGAUCUUGAGUGGAAGAGAAGUAUGCGGAAUGCGUGGUGUAGCGGUGAAAUGCAUAGAUAUCACGCAGAACCCCGAUUGCGAAGGCAGCAUGCCGGCUUCCGACUGACACUGAGGCUCGAAAGCGUGGGGAGCAAACAGG
rnacentral:rRNA from 1 species